rnacentral:rRNA from 1 species
AUGAACGCUAGCUACAGGCUUAACACAUGCAAGUCGAGGGGCAGCAUGGUCUUAGCUUGCUAAGACUGAUGGCGACCGGCGCACGGGUGAGUAACACGUAUCCAACCUGCCGUCUACUCUUGGACAGCCUUCUGAAAGGAAGAUUAAUACAAGAUGGCAUCAUGAGUCCGCAUGUUCACAUGAUUAAAGGUAUUCCGGUAGACGAUGGGGAUGCGUUCCAUUAGAUAGUAGGCGGGGUAACGGCCCACCUAGUCUUCGAUGGAUAGGGGUUCUGAGAGGAAGGUCCCCCACAUUGGAACUGAGACACGGUCCAAACUCCUACGGGAGGCAGCAGUGAGGAAUAUUGGUCAAUGGGCGAGAGCCUGAACCAGCCAAGUAGCGUGAAGGAUGACUGCCCUAUGGGUUGUAAACUUCUUUUAUAAAGGAAUAAAGUCGGGUAUGGAUACCCGUUUGCAUGUACUUUAUGAAUAAGGAUCGGCUAACUCCGUGCCAGCAGCCGCGGUAAUACGGAGGAUCCGAGCGUUAUCCGGAUUUAUUGGGUUUAAAGGGAGCGUAGAUGGAUGUUUAAGUCAGUUGUGAAAGUUUGCGGCUCAACCGUAAAAUUGCAGUUGAUACUGGAUAUCUUGAGUGCAGUUGAGGCAGGCGGAAUUCGUGGUGUAGCGGUGAAAUGCUUAGAUAUCACGAAGAACUCCGAUUGCGAAGGCAGCCUGCUAAGCUGCAACUGACAUUGAGGCUCGAAAGUGUGGGUAUCAAACAGGAUUAGAUACCCUGGUAGUCCACACGGUAAACGAUGAAUACUCGCUGUUUGCGAUAUACAGCAAGCGGCCAAGCGAAAGCGUUAAGUAUUCCACCUGGGGAGUACGCCGGCAACGGUGAAACUCAAAGGAAUUGACGGGGGCCCGCACAAGCGGUGGAACAUGUGGUUUAAUUCGAUGAUACGCGAGGAACCUUACCCGGGCUUAAAUUGCAGAUGAAUUACGGUGAAAGCCGUAAGCCGCAAGGCAUCUGUGAAGGUGCUGCAUGGUUGUCGUCAGCUCGUGCCGUGAGGUGUCGGCUUAAGUGCCAUAACGAGCGCAACCCUUGUUGUCAGUUACUAACAGGUUCCGCUGAGGACUCUGACAAGACUGCCAUCGUAAGAUGUGAGGAAGGUGGGGAUGACGUCAAAUCAGCACGGCCCUUACGUCCGGGGCUACACACGUGUUACAAUGGGGGGUACAGAGGGCCGCUACCACGCGAGUGGAUGCCAAUCCCAAAAACCUCUCUCAGUUCGGACUGGAGUCUGCAACCCGACUCCACGAAGCUGGAUUCGCUAGUAAUCGCGCAUCAGCCACGGCGCGGUGAAUACGUUCCCGGGCCUUGUACACACCGCCCGUCAAGCCAUGGGAGCCGGGGGUACCUGAAGUGCGUAACCGCGAGGAGCGCCCUAGGGUAAAACUGGUGACUGGGGCU